rnacentral:rRNA from 1 species
AAAGGUUCUCUCAGUACGGUCGGAAAUCGUACGUAGAGUGUAAAGGCAAAAGAGAGCUGGAUUGCAAGACAUACAGGUCGAGCAAGGAUGAAAAUCGGACUUAGUGAUCCGGUGGUUCUGCGUGGAAGGGCCAUCGCUCAACGGAUAAAAGCUACCCUGGGGAUAACAGGCUUAUCUCCCCCACGAGUCCACAUCGACGGGGAGGUUUGGCACCUCGAUGUCGGCUCAUCACAUCCUGGGGCUGUAGUAGGUCCCAAGGGUUGGGCUGUUCGCCCAUUAAAGUGGUACGCGAGCUGGGUUCAGAACGUCGUGA